rnacentral:rRNA from 1 species
UACGGGGGGGGCAAGCGUUGUUCGGAAUUACUGGGCGUAAAGGGCGCGUAGGCGGUUCGCUAAGUUGAAUGUGAAAACUCUGGGCUCAACUCAGAGCCUGCAAGCGAAACUGUGGUGCUGGAGUAUGGGAGAGGGACGCGGAAUUCCAGGUGGAGCGGUGAAAUGCGUAGAGAUCUGGAAGAACACCAAAGGCGAAGGCAGCGUCCUGGCAAGUCACUGACGCUCAGGUGCGAAAGCUAGGGGAGCGAACGGG